GUCGGAAUCGCUAGUAAACGCAGAUCAGCAUGCUGCGUUGAAUACGUUCCCGGGCCUUGUACACACCGCCCGUCACACCACGAAAGUUUGUUCAACCCGAAGUCGGUGAGCUAACCCUAUGGGAAGCAGCCGCCUAAGGUGGGGCAGAUGAUUGGGGUGAAGUCGUAACAAGGUAGCCGUACUGGAAGGUGCGGCUGGAUCACCUCCUUUCUGG
rnacentral:rRNA from 1 species